AGACGAGGAGAGGCGCGGAUUUGUCCGACAAAAUGCUCGAGGCGCGUUGCAGCACCUGCUUUUUCUGCGGGGAAACGUCGAUGCGGGAGGGCCCACGAAGCUUUAGAAUAAGGACCUGCAAAGUUAAGCAGAGCGCUUAAUCCACUCCUGGGGUGCUUUCGCGGCUGCGGGAUUAGUUGGAGGGAGCGAGAAUAAAGUAUUUUCAGAUUCUCUCACAACACGCCAGUUUAGUGGAGGAGUUGUUCUAGCGUAAGCGUUCAUUCCUGAGUGUUUGUAACUCUCAUAGACAGAGCAUUUUCCUUCACCAACACCUCUUCCCUCGUCGUCUGCAAGGCUGUUACAGAAGACACAAAAUCUGCUCUACAGGAUGGAGUCGGGGCGACUAAAUGGAGCUGAGCAUUACUGGCCAGAUGCCCUUCCUGACACCUAUACGGAGUUCACAGCAGAUAUUUUCUCUUUGUGCCCUAUUAGAGAAAUAUUUCCCACUGUCUAGAAUUGAACCCUCAACCUUCCGAAUGGGAGGUGCGCAUCUUUACCUCACUGUUAAAUUGAUGUUUGAAUUAGAACAAUUCUUGGCUUUAAUUCAAAAUCCUAAAAAUAUAUUUUCAAUUUUUUAUUAUGUUCUGGAGAAUGUGGGGAUCUAUAAACUUUUUAAUGUCAUUUUAGUUGGUCCUUAUAAAAAUAUUACCUAACUCUGGAAUUGGGAACUUUUAUCAUGAAAAAUAUUCCAUUUUAUGUUUCUUGGGAAA